rnacentral:rRNA from 1 species
UGCACCUACGGGGCGCAGCAGUAGGGAAUCUUCCACAAUGGACGAAAGUCUGAUGGAGCAACGCCGCGUGAGUGAAGAAGGGUUUCGGCUCGUAAAGCUCUGUUUGUAGUGAAGACCGAUAGAGGUAUUAACUGGCCUUUAUUUUACGGUAAUUACUUAUAAAGUCCCGGCUAACUCCGUUCCCGCCGCCGCGGUAAUACGUCUGUGGCAAGCCUUUUCCGGAUUUCUUUGGCGU